rnacentral:rRNA from 1 species
GAUGAACGCUAGCGGCAGGCUUAAUACAUGCAAGUCGUGGGGAAGCAUGACUGUAGCAAUACAGUUGAUGGCCACCGGCAAACGGGUGCGGAAUACGUACAUAACCUUCCUUUAACUGGGGAAUAGCCCAGCGAAAUUUGGAUAAAUACCCCGUAACAUACUGAAGUGGCAUCACUUUAUUAUUAUAGCUUCGUCGCCUAAUGAUGGGUGUGAGGCUGAUUAGAUAGUUGGCGGGGUAACGGACCACCAAGUCGACGAUCAGUAACUGGUGUGAGAGCACGACCAGUCACACGGGCACUGAGACACGGGCCCGACUCCUACGGGAGGCAGCAGUGGGGAAUAUUGGACAAUGGGGGGAACCCUGAUCCAGCCAUGCCGCGUGUGUGAAGAAGGCCUUAUGGUUGUAAAGCACUUUAAGCGAGGAGGAGGCUCUUUUGGUUAAUACCCAAGAUGAGUGGACGUUACUCGCAGAAUAAGCACCGGCUAACUCUGUGCCAGCCGCCGCCGUAA